rnacentral:rRNA from 1 species
GAUGAACGCUAGCGGCAGGCCUAACACAUGCAAGUCGAGGGGUAACAUAAAGUGCUUGCACUUUGAUGACGACCGGCGCACGGGUGCGCACCGCGUAUGGAACCUACCUUAUACAGGGGAAUAGCCUUUGGAAACGAAGAUUAAUGCCCCAUAGUACUUUUUGUAGCAUUACGAGAUAGUUAAAGCCUUCGGGUGGUAUAAGAUGGCCAUGCGUCCCAUUAGUUAGUUGGUAAGGUAACGGCUUACCAAGACCGCGAUGGGUAGGGGCCCUGAGAGGGGGAUCCCCCACACUGGUACUGAGACACGGACCAGACUCCUACGGGAGGCAGCAGUGAGGAAUAUUGGACAAUGGAGGAGACUCUGAUCCAGCCAUGCCGCGUGCAGGAAGAAUGCCCUAUGGGUAGUAAACUGCUUUUAUACAGGAAGAAAAAGGGGUACGUGUACCCCACUGACGGUACUGUAAGAAUAAGGACCGGCUAACUCCG